CAUUAAGGAAGCCACUGGGGAGUAAGAAAAUAUAUAUGUGUAGGCAUGUAUACCGUAGCUAAACAGGUGUGUAAUAGUUGCAUAACAUGCCAACGAGUGGUCCCUUAUGGGUCCCUUCCAACUCGGGGUAUUCUAUGAAAUUAGUGGCUUUUGUAGGAAUUCAACUUGGUAAGAACAUAGGUAUUUUUAUUCUAGAAGGAGCCCCAUUUGCAGAAAUGUAUUGAAUGUUCAACUGUUUUUUAAGUCCUUCGUUUAUAUUGUCAUUAACUAUUAGUCUAAAAUAAGCUGCAGUGGGUAAUGUCAUAUGUCUGAGUCUAAUACUGUUUGGAAAAGUGAAUGCUCUAAUAUGUGAAAAACCUAAUAGAUCCUUCUAUGUGUUUUUGACAGAUUGGUAAAAUGAGGUAUGUCAGUGUUCGUGACUUUAAAGGGAAAGUCUUAAUUGAUAUUAGAGAGUACUGGAUGGAUCAAGAAGGUGAAAUGAAGCCGGGCAGAAAAGGUAUUUCUUUAAAUCCAGAACAGUGGAACCAGCUGAAGGAACAGAUUUCUGAUAUUGACGAUGCAGUAAGAAAACUUUAAAGAUAGCCAUACAGAAAUCUUUAUCAUUUCAGUUGUUUUAAGCAGUCUUUUUACAUUGGAUUUUGUUUUCUAAAAUAGUGUUUUCAAAGCUAUUGUAUAUUUGGUUUGUAAAACAAUUUGUAAGAUGAAUACUUUUUUUUUUUUUUUAUGUGCAUUUAAAGUGUAUUCUGAGUGAGGCUAUUUGUGUAUACUUUACUAAAAGGAAAUGUGUUGCUUUUACCUCAUGGUGUAAAAUAAAUCAAGUAAUGGUUAAAACAUAGCUGUUAUGGCCUUUUGAUUGAAGAUGUUUGCUGGUAAGGCCACCUAUUGGCUUUAGGCUUUGUUUCAGUUCAGUUGUUUGUUUUCUAAGGAGAAUUUUAAAACAUCUUUAUUUAAAUAGUUUUUCUUUCAUACGCUUUGGUAUCGUCCUCAACUUUCUGCAUUAAAACUUGAUACAAACAGUGAAUACCUGGUAAAACACAUAUUUGUAAAUAAUUUUAAAUACUGUAUUUGCUAAUUUUCCCUAUUUAUUCAUAUGUAAACAGUCCUGAGUAUAUAGACUUUUUUGCGUUAUUUGCCUAGAGUGAUAUAUUAAACAGUAACACUUGAACACCA